rnacentral:ncRNA from 1 species
ACCAUUCUUUCCUUGGGGUGGUGUGCUGUCCAGCGAGUACACAGGGAGGGCAGUACUGCGAACAUCACACACCACACUCACAUCAACCAGCUCUGCUUCACCUUGGUGCAAUUUUUAGGAAA